GGUCACUGAGGUUAUUGCGUGCAUAAGCCUGAUCUUAAGGCUGGCUUGUUGGACAAUCUGCCCCAGGCUCAGAACCCUGAGUGUUAAAGCUGAUUCUGAUUGUAUGCCUGUUGGAUCAUCCUUAGGCACAUGUCCUACUUCCAAAAAAUCUUGUGACUUUAAGGUUAUUUUGAAAGCCCACUAGGUCUAGGGAAAGGUGAGUACAAUUGAAUAUCCCAAAUUCAACUUACUUGAGAGAAGAGUAGGGAGAUAUAAGGGGCACCAAAUAAUUUUUACCAAGCUAAGAGAACUUUCAGGGAGGGCUUCUAAACACAGUCAACUUCUGUAAGGAUUCUCGGACAGCUGAUGUCCAUGUCUGAGAGAGAAGCCCUGACCAUGCCCAUGGACUUCCUAAGCCAGCCUCAAUAUUGACCCAGAUACCUGAGGUUAUAAGAUUCAGGCUACACAGUCUUUCCAUCUCAACAUAACUGGCUAGGAAAAUGUGCAAACUUACAAGUGAGAUAAUCUUAUAAUCAAAAUGCUGGAGUGGAAGAAAGGAGAUUCUGUGACCUUUAUUCAGUGGCAUGCCAACGACUGGGCAAUAGACUGAGUUUGCCCCAGGAAUGAGCAAUGAGCAGUGCAUUGUCUUUUAAGUUUUUAAAACAAUGAUAAAUCUGGACUAAAAGUCUGUCUGCUUUUUAUCAUCACCAGGUGCUUAGUGAUAAAAUACUCCUCUCU